GAUGGAUCUCUCCUCUAUACCAGAAUACUUUUGAGGAGCCCUUGAAGAAUUUUAGAACCCUUGUAGAGUAACAAAGGAAGAAAAUACACUAUUGGGGACAAAAAAGUCUUUCAUAUCUGCUUGCUCACCAUUAUCAGUCAUCUCUGUGAUUGUAAAGCCUGGAAGAUGUUUACCUAGAGCACCUGAGCAGAUAAAAACCAACACAUUUGUUCCAUCUCCUGUGGAAGGGAUCCCGUGCUGGAACAGGGUAAGAGUGUGAGUCCUUCUGAGGAAGAAGGAGUGGCAGACAUGUGAUGAGCUGACCAUAGCCCCUGUGCCCUGUCCUGCUGCAUCUCUAGUGGGGAAGAAAUAGAGAAAACUGUGAGAAAAGCCUGGGAAGAAGAGAGGGAUGCAGGGCAAGAUGACAGAAUGCAGAGAAUCUACAGCACACAUCACAUCAUCAGAUGGAAGCUGGGCAUGCUGGUGGUGCUCCUGAAGAGCCUCUACUCUGAGCAGAAUCUGCACCCAAGGGCUGGAUGUCUAAGCUCAUCACAUAACACCAGCAGCAACUUGUAAUUUAACAGAGUGAGAAGGUUACUAUUCGCCUCAGAAGACAUGCAAAAACUUUCCCUGGUAUCUCAGCUUCUCCAGAGCUCUGAAUAGUAAUUCUGGAUUGAUAAGAGACAUCUUUUCCCACAGAUCUUCAUAAAGGAAAACCUGCAAAAAAAUCACCUUUAUGUGCUACAAUCUGCAGACUUAGCUGAAUUUUACUAGAAGCUGAGUAUGCUCAACAAAAGAAGAAAACAAUCAAUGUACUUCAAAAUCAGAAUCUAGGUAAAAUGUGAUGAAAGCAAGAGGCGUCAAGUUGCAAUGGGAGAUUUAAGUUGGAUAUUAAAAAAAUAUUUCUUUCCCUGAAAGUGUUGUCAAGCACUGGAACAGGUGCUCAGGGCGAGGGCUGGAUCACCAUCCCUGGAGGUAUUUAAAAGAUGUGUAGAUAUGUAGGCACUUGGGACACAAGUGGUGGACCUGGCAGUGCUGUGUUAAUGGAUGAACUCAAUAAUCUUAGGGGACCUUUGUAUCCUAAACAAUUCUAUGAUUCUAUGAGUCUGUGACUUACUCAACAAUAAAACAGAAGUGUAUAAGAAGGUUGGUUGCUUGAAGGUGAUGAACCUGAUAUGUGUUUUUUAAAGGCAAAAUCUUAACUUCAGUGCUAUUAAAUGAGGGCUUUGACUCCUUGUUUUUUUAUUUUCAUUAUUGUUUGGUUGUUUUUUUAACAAUGGAACACUACUGUGAAUUCAGUGCAGUUAAUACUGGAGAUAAAACUGGUUCUGUUUGCAAUUGAUGUUAUCUAAUAUGUUUCCCUGGGACUAAGAAAAGUAUUAAGAAAAAUAAAAAUGACACCAGAGUCUAUUACAACCCAACUGCAAAUGAUUUGUUCAUAGAAUUAUGAAAGAUGAAUCAACCAGUCUAAAAUAAAAACAUUUCAGUUCUUAUCUGUGGACUGAUGCUACCAUUGUGAGUAGCUUCUAGAAGAUUUUUAACUGCAGCACAGCAAUUUUAUGAAGCCAACUGCAGAACAAUUUAUACAUGAUAUAUAGCUCAAUUUUUGCAAAACAUUUGUCAGAUGACAUGUCAAUCACAGCAUGCUAGUCAAUGUUCAGAAGGAGAAAUUCAAUCUUCAUAUCUUAAAAUACCACAAAGAAAGAACAAAGGAAGAUGGAUGGGGGAAAAUAAAAGGAUAGGAAUGAAAUUUUGCAAUGAAUUAUUUUUCUUUGCUUCAUUCUCUGUCUCCUUUGUUUCUUCUUUUUUCAUGUACCUUUCUUUGUCCCUUGAUUUUUCCUUCAUCUUGCUGUUGUAUUUUUUAUUAAUAGCAUACUAUUAUUGUGCCUGAAUCUUUCCAAGUUCUUUCUAGAGGCUGUUUCUCAUAGCAAAUAAAAGAUAAAAGCUAGCUGUGUUGCACAUUUCUCCUCUGAUUUCUUUCAUGUUUGGACUUCUUUUCAAAAAUAUUAAUAAUUAUAAUGCUCUACUACUAUCUCUAUCUUGUCUAUUCUUUGUCUAAUUGUCAUCUUUUUUCUCUGACUUCAGAGAUCCAGGAGGCUAAACUGAUGUCUUGGCUUUUUAAAGCCUGUAUUUAAUUCUCUGGCCAUGAAACAGUUUUAAAUUAAAACAAUGAGUUUUAUAAUACUUCUUUCAAUGGCAAAAUUUUUAAAGACUUGAAGAUUUUGGGUGACAAAACAUGACCCCAUGGAGCACAGGUCCUCAUCUAUUGCAUGUUAAAUAGAAUUAUUGGGAAAUGUCACACAUUACCAAAUCAUUAUCACAAAAACUGUUGGUGAUACUGAGACUAGUUAGGAGAAAAUUAUAGUCUCUGGAAUGUCUUGGUUAGUAAGUAAGUUAGAUAUCAAACCACAGACAGAAAAAGGGUUUGCAAUGAAGCAGUACAUUUUUGGAAAUCUCUAUACCCAGUAGCUGAGACCAAAGCUAUAUAAAGUGACUAAUGUAGUUUUACAAGUGAACAAAACUCAGUGACAGUGGAGGCAAUGCACUUUGACAUAAUAGAUUAAUUUCUUAUUAAUAUAUAUCUUCAUGAUGCAUGUGAAUUUGCAGAAUAUCUCAAGUGCUAAAUUCAGAAGUUUUGGGCUCCCAGUUUUGUCCUGUGCCCAAUUUCUGUUGAGAUUGUCAGUGUAGACAGUCAAAUUUUAAGGCCCAGUUCUGCUUUAGUAUCACCUCUCAAUAGUUAAUCAUCUUAUGAUUUGAGAAGGCAAAAUUCUAUUGAAUACAUAUCCAGCACAGAUUAUGAGAAUAUGUUCUGAUGUAGGUUGCAUAUGCAUUUAUGUUUGUUCAUUUGACAUGAGGGACUCUCAGUUUCCUUCUAAUCUUUUACCUGCAUUGGUGCAAAAGCAAAAUGACCUGUCCAUAUAGACCAAGGUACUGUCAUAGAAAGUUUUAUCACCUGGUAUCAAGUAAAGAUGAGUUUUUAAUUAUCUAAAUAUACAGUAAUCUAUGUUUUAUUGAUUACUUAGGCCUAGAUUCACAGAUCUGUUUGCUUCAGGAGGUGCAUUUGUUUUUGUCCUUUGUGCUUUUAUUUCCCAAUUUCUGUUCUGCAUCUUUGUCACUCCCACCUAUGUUAUCAGAAACCAUUUCUGACAUUUUUUAGAUGUUAUCAUUAAAUAUGUCAGAUUCAGCACUUCCUUUAUAAUUACUGAUGUCACUUAUAAUUUUUAUUCAUAUAAGUUCAG